CAGUUUCUCGGUCCCUCUCUCUAGAUGCUCAACGCCGCCCCCCCCAGUCCAACCCCGCGUCUCUGCCCCUACCCCCAAGAGAAGGAGGGGGCGGGCCUUCGAUCGGUCUCCCACCCGGAGCAGGCCCGCAGGCUCCGCAGGCCCCGCAGGCCACGCCCCUCGGCGCUGCCCGGACUCGGUCUGGGCCCCGGGGCGGCUCCCACAGCGACCCCGGCGCUCCAUUGGCCGCCGCUUGCGUCGCUCCGCUGCGCUCUCCGGAUUGGUCGAGCCCUCGAGGGGCGGGCCUACGAGGAAGGCGGUGGUUGGCCGGCAGGGAAGCCCUAUAGGGGCGCGGCACCGGUUUUGAAAGCGAGGCUGCUGGGAAGACUCGUGUAGCAAAGGUGCUCCCGACUCCGAGUCCUUCUGCUUCCCGGACGCGGCGACAGACCGGCGAGUUGCCAUGCAGUCUCCCAACAGCACCCUUGGGUACAGAGCUAGCUUUGCCGAAGAGGCAAAGGUCAUUUCGGAGCAGCUGCAAGGUCAUGGGGGAACAGAUAUAUCUACCAUAGAGGCCGAGCUCCCACCUCCCGACUUGACUUCUUCUGCUUCUUUUCUGGACCUACCAACCAGUAACCAGAUCCAAGUGCAACCCAGUGACAGCCCACUUCCCCCCCCUGUUCUAGAUCCUAAGCAGGAGCCUUCCUCAGCCCCCCCCAGUGACCAGGGCCUUCUGUUUCUCAAAGGGCUGCCAGCUUUGGAGGAGGCUGCCAGCCCUGACGAUCCGGUCAGAUGGCAGCUUAACGUGACCAUGGAGCUCUGUAGCCUGUCCCCUGAUGCUGUACAGGCUGGUGAUCCCUGCUCCUUGGCCCCCCAGCCAAGCACUGAGCUCAAUAAGACCUGUCUGCUUAGCUCAGGCACUCCCCUGGCUGAAGCAGCCCAGCCAGAAUGCAGCCAGGCUCCAGAUGACGGGGCCAGUGGGGAAGGGGCUCUGCUCAAAGUGCAGGACCUCUCAGACACGCCCAUCAAUAAGACUUUCUUGUUUAGCAGGGCUACCUUUGUGACCUCCACCCCACACGAAGCUUCGGAAGGGCUGAAGCUGCUCAAAGGGGCAUCUCUUUUCUCCUUCCCAGAGAGCCCCCAAGCUCAGGAAGCACCCAGUGUGGCUGAGGCAGCCCAGCCCAGUGCCAGACGCCCCCAGAGGCCUCGAGUAGCCACAGGCAGCCCGCCUAAGGCCACCCCAAAAAGUGGCCCUUUGGGAAAGAUGGGCCAGGAGAAAAGAUCCCUGGGUGGGGCCUCUUUAGCUGUUUCCAGGAGGGGGCAUCAGGCCCUUCCUUUGCCUGGGCAGAAAAGAUGGUCAGCUGUCCCCUUCAGAACCUCUGGCUUGCCUGUCCUGUUCAAGUCCAGAAGGGAACCCUUGGCAUCUCCAGGAGCUAGGCAGCAGAAAGGCAGGAGCAGUGAGGCGGGCAGGAUGAAGGAAGCAGAGCCACCCGCCAAAGCAGGGAAUAAUCCGCCCUCGGCAGUCAAGGUGUCUCAACUCCUCCACAGCAAAUCGGUGCCACCUCGCUUCUCCGUGCAUCAGAGAGGUCCCAGUGCUCGGGACCCGAAAUCCAGGGACCCUCAGGCAGCUCGAAUUUUGAAGCCCUUGCCUUCGAACCAGGGCACCCAAUCCAGAGUCCCGGCCAGGACAGAUGAGCAGCCCCCCAAGCAGGACAGGAAGCCCCAGCCUUCUUCAGGACAGACAUGCCCCCAGUGCCUUGUGCUGCAGAAGCAAGUGGAAGACCUCAAAAGCCAACUAGGUAUGGAGGGCAGGGGCGGGCGGGCAGGGCAGCCCACUUGUCUCCAGCAGCCAAUCCCCCAGCUUCUUCCUGGCAGAAGGCCAACGGCAUGGAGUGGGAAAGGGGGGUAUAGAGUGGGGGGUGGGGAUGAGAAGUUAGAGCAGAGAGAGGCAAGCUAG
ensembl:lncRNA